CAAGGAGUCUAACAUGCGCGCUAGUCGUUGGGUCGGAUACGCUCCGCUAAACCCGCAGGCGCAAUGAAAGUGAAGGCCACCCUUAAGCGGGGCCGAGGGAGGAAGGGGGCCCCNNNNNNNNCAGANNNNNNNNGGGUCCCCCGCACUCCCGGGGCGUCUGAUUCCUCACUGCGAGGGGAGGCGCACCCAGAGCGCACACGUUGGGACCCGAAAGAUGGUGAACUAUGCCUGGCCAGGACGAAGUCAGGGGAAACCCUGAUGGAGGUCCGUAGCGAUUCUGACGUGCAAAUCGAUCGUCGGAGCUUGGUAUAGGUGCGAAAGACUAAUCGAACA
rnacentral:rRNA from 1 species